GUGUUGGGCUGUUACUCUAAAUCAUAGUUUAAGCACUGACAAUAGACCAAAAGGAAGGGGAAUACUUAGUGCUCUUCACCUGUGUCACUGCCUAUAGAAGGCAUGGAGCUUUUAUAGUGUAUGUGUAGGGAAGGUUGGCAAUGGGUGUGGUGGGGUAUCAGUAGCCUAUAUAUCUACCCCCUAGUGAUCAUCCUGUCACAUUUUAAACCGUCAAGGAUCCUCUUUGCCCUUUUCCAGCUACGACAUGGCCCCCAGAAAGCAAAGAAGAGAGCAGAGGGAGCCAACUCCAAUGUGUUCUCUCCAUGUUUGAACAGGCCCAGAUCCACGAGUUCAAAGAAGUGCAGACCCAGAGGACACCAUCCUCAAUGCCUUCAAAGUCUUUGAUCCUGAGGGGAAGGAGACCUUGAAGAAGGACUUAUGGAGCAGAUGUUCACCACCUUCCCUCCAGAUGUGGCUGGACACCUGGACUUCAAGAAUCUGGUCUACAUCAUCACACAUGGGGAAGAGAAGGACCAUGAAUAAAUCCACCUCUUGCUAACUGUCCUUGCAUCUCUUCUGUUACACGUCGCCCCGCUGCGCAUCAAAGCUAUCUGGAAAUGUUUGAGAUGUGCAUGAUCAUCU
rnacentral:lncRNA from 1 species